CCGGGGACGUCUAGCGAAACUGCCGGUGUAAACCGCGAGGAAGGUGGGGAUGACGUCAAAUCAGCACGGCCCUUAUGUCCAGGGCUACACACGUGUUACAAUGGCCGGUACAGAGGGCAGCUACCUGGAGACAGGAUGCGAAUCUCGAAAGCCGGUCUCAGUUCGGAUCGGAGUCUGCAACUCGACUCCGUGAAGCUGGAUUCGCUAGUAAUCGCGCAUCAGCCAUGGCCGCGGUGAAUACGUUCCCGGGCCUU
rnacentral:rRNA from 1 species